GAAACUUGUGAGUAUCUCAAGGCUUACUUGUUUGAAGGGCCAGUUUCUGCGGUCACUGGGAGCACUUAAAGUUCUGAUGAUUUCUGAUUUCCCCGAACUAACCUCGUUGUGGCAAAAAGGAACUGGAUUAGAAAAUUUUGAAUAUCCUCAAUUUGUGUCAUUGACAGAGAUUGGUAUGCCCAGCGCUCAUAAAAGUUCAAAAUUGUCAGGCUGUGGUAAGCUGGAUCUUCUGCCAAUCCAUAGGGUGCGUGUGCUUUUGUCUCUUGAGGAUCUGUGCAUCGAAUCAUGUCCAAAUCUUGUGUCCAUUCCUGAAGCUGGACUUUUAUCGUCACUGAGACAUCUAGUACUUCGGGAUUGCAAAGCUCUUAGAUUCACUCCCCCUGAUGGCAUGAGCAAUUGUCCUCUUGAAGACUUGGAGAUAGAAAAGUGUCCUUCGCUCAAAUGCUUUCCAGGAGGGAUGUUACCUGCAACGUUAAAAGGGUUGAAGAUUCGAAACUGUACAGAAUUAAAGUCUCUGCCUGAGGGUUUGAUGCACAACAAAAAUGGCCCUGGCACCCCGUGUCAGUUUGAGCACCUGGAGAUCAUUGGCUGUCCAUCUCUCAAAUCCUUUCCUGAUGGGAAAUUACCACCUCGAAUCAAGACACUAAAAAUCUGGGACUGUUCCCAAUUGAUGCCUCUUUCAGAAAUGAUGUUGCUUGAUGAUAUGUCCCUCGAAUACCUAGCCAUUUCAGACUGCGAAGCCCUGUCAAGCUUUCCUGAGUGCCUUGGCAGCUUCAAGCAUCUCUCUGAAUUAAAUUGAAGUAAUUGUUCUGCUCUGAAGUUCAUUCCGGGAGAUGGCUUUUCCCUCGCUAACCUCAGAACGUUGACUAUAUACAAUUGCAAAAAUCGCAAGUCUCUACCUAAAGCGAUGCGAAAACUCACAUCUCUGCAAGAACUGACAAUUUGUAGCUGCCCAGAUCUGAUAUCCUUUCCAUGUGGUGAUAUGCCUCCGAACUUGACAUCGCUUGAGAUCUGGGAUUGUGAUCGUCUUGAUGGGUGCCUGUCAAAGUGGAACUUGCAAAGUCUAGCCAGCCUUGGUGAUUUUAGUAUCGCUGGUGGAUGUUUUUCGGGCACAGUUUCCUUUCCAGAUGAGAAGUGUCUGUUUCCGACAACUCUAACUUCUGUUCGGAUUGGAAGACUUCCAAAUCUGGAAUCUCUAUCCAUGCAGCUCCAAAGUCUUGCGUAUCUAGAAGAGCUAGAAAUUGUUGUGUCCUAAAUUAAAGUCCUUGCCUAGGGGAUGCCUACCUCAUGCUCUUGGAAGAUUCAGCAUCAGGGACUGUCCGUUAAUGACACAGCGCUGUUCCAAGGAGAAAGGAGUGUACUGGCCGUUGAUAUCCCACAUCCCUUGUGUGGAGAUAGAUGAUGGCCAUGACAUGUAAAGAGUUAUGGGGUUGCCUGUUAUAAUGUCUUUUUCAUAUGCACAUGUAAAAUGUAUCCCAUCUGUAAUCAAUAAUAUUUUGAAUUUUCGAAACAAAGGUGUUCUGUUUCUGACUUGCUGGAAGUUGUGUUUAAUUCUAAUUUUGAAGGGAGAAGGAUUUUUCAUGGUAUUAUGUCAGGUUGUUUGGAUAUUAAUUAUCACAGCCGAACGCGUUGCUUCCUGCCCGAAGAAUUCAGGCUGUUCAUCUCUGUGAAUGUGUUCUUUUGUUAAACAUUCAUUAAAAAUCACUUUGUUGGUAAAAGCGCCAAUCAUAAUGUCUAGAAUUUAUUUCAGAAGAAAAACUGUUUGAAUCGGUGCGAUCGUUUAGUUCCAUAGAGCUCUGGCCACAGCCGAACCAUUUUCAAGCUUUCAGGUGAAAUGCUCUGCCAUCUGCUGUGUUGUUGGGGAACUCCUAGGGAGGAGCGGUUAUUUCAGGGUGGUGAAGAAUUGGUAUUUGAGCAAGAGUUGGGAUCAUUUGGUUAUCUAGUUGUUUGAUGUUUUUCUUUCUCUAGGUUAGAUAUCCCAUGCUUUAUCUCUUGUAUUGAUAUCCCACGCCGUCUUAGGACAGGUUGUGAAGCUAAAGCCUCAAAGGUUAUUGAUAUCCAUGAAGGUUUUAAUCAUGAGGUGUUUCCUCCAUAUUUCCUUCUACGCUUAUCUAGGAUUGUAAUUCAUCGACAGUUGCUGCUUGUACGCGCAGCUUGGAAACUCAGCUACACUCGAUGCUGGAAAGGAUGGAGAACUCAUGAAUGGAAAGAUAACUUCAAGGAGCUAGAAGCAUUCGUUGAAUGAGUAGAUUUUUUUGGCAUUCUUUUUAAAGAGAUCUACCAUUCUUUUUUAAAUAUUUUCAAGCAAUGGGGUACAUGAGUGUUUCCUUUUAAGGGAUAAAUUAGGAAAUCAGCACAUAAAAUAAAAACAAUUAGCUCGCUUUCAUCUUGUUGCGCAUCUAAGCGAGACAGAAUAAAACUCCAAUUAUUUGACUCAACUGGUUGACCAGUUCGUAAUAAUUAAUGAAAUCGGUCGAUCGGUUACAAAAAUAACAUGGAAAAUCUCAAAACUGCUAAAAUCAAGGGGCUUCGAUGAAAUUCUUGAUAUCUAAAGAUCCGACAGUCCGUAAAGCGACACAAUGGCUACUACAAGGAAAACGACCUCUGGAAACUCCUGUAAAGAUUUGAGCGUGAUCUAAUGGUCAUAUCUAAAGUCGUAACCUUUUUGAGCUGUUAUUUUAGUCUAGUGCGACCAGACCUUCUCUUGGGCUUAUACCUGUCCCCUUGGUCUAUAAAUGCAUCUGUUAGGCCAUCCACUUAAUAUUUUUAGGGCAGAUAAUUUAAGGGUUGACAAACCCACACCUGACUAUUCAGAACCACCAGUUAUCACAAUCCCGACUACAUUAUUGACAUUGAAAAACAGAGGACAACUAUUAUGUAAACAAUAACUUCUUGUGAUUUUAAUUGGAGUCUAUUUUUUAGUCUACAAGUUGGAUAAAUGUGUAUAUUUUGACUCAUAAAAUAUAUUUGGAAGAAAAAAUUUAUUAAAUUAUGAUUUUUGUGUGAAACUGUUGACUAGUUCAUGCAACUAGAUUCAAUCAAUUGACCAGUUUAGCCAGAUAAUUUAGAGUUUCACCUUUUCGUGCUUCAGAAGCGCGACAAGGUGAAACUCUAGCCUGUUUGUUUUUGCGUUUCAAAAGCGUUUUUGAAAAAAAAAUGAAAAUUUUUUAUAUUUUUUUCUAAUUUUCUCUUUGCUUCAAAUUACUUUUUUUAGUGUUUUAAAAUCAUUUUGAUGUGCUGAUGUAAAAAAUAUUAUUUUAAUGCAUUUAUGAGCGAAAAAAAUUUAAAAAGCCACUGCUACCACAAUCCCAAACAACCCAAAUCACCUGUUUUAGAAGCACGACAAAGUGAAAGUGCGCUAUUUCACCAAAUGUUUUUCAAAUUGUGUUAUUCCGUGUAACAACCUGUCCCAACCUGCCAGAUAUUGUUCGCUUUGGCCCAUGGGCCUUACGGAUUUGUUCUUGGUGACCACGCAUAGCCCCAAAACGCGUCUUUCAGAGUAGCGCAGUACACUAACCCUGUCAGAUAUUGUCCCCUCUAGGCCUCCCAGUCCACCCAUUUCCAGGGCUUCCACCCUAGGUCCCCCUUAGGAUUUCAAACGUGUUUAACAAGUUAGUAACCAACAUUACUAGUAAGGUCAACUAUCAAAUCCUCUCCCGUUGAUGUGGGUUAUUACAUUCCGUUAAUUUUUUUUAAAUGUGCUAAUUUUAAAAUAAAUAUGUUUUGAGAAUGAGAAAAUAAUUCCAAGCCAUUACAAGGGGAAUAAAAAAAAAAGUUAAGAAGAGAACUGUACAAAAAGGUGUUGGUGCAAAUCCCGAUUAAAAAUCGGUAACAUUACCGUGAAAUAAAUGAUGAAAAAAAGAAAGAUGAAAUUAUCCCAUUUACACCAUUAAUUGAGCUUAAUAUAAGGUCUAAAUGGAAAAGGAUUACAUAAAAAGUUAAAGGGGCUAAGUUCAGAGGCUCAGAUUGAAAGGGGGCAAAUCUAUCACACUGGACCUUUGGCUACUCUUUGGUGUGUGUGUGUGUCAUGAUUAAUUUUCAUUUCUGUUCCAGUUUUUUUGGAAAGAAGACAUCUGUAACCUUCCAACAAUAUAUGGUAGGCUCUCAAAUUCACACGGUUGAGAGAGAAUGAUGGGUUUGGAGUUGGGUUUGAAAUCAGAAUUCGGGCUGUAAAUUCCAGUACUGUCCAAUUUUAUGUUAUCAACCAUAACUCUCAAUCCGACCGUUAGAUCAGACUAAACUUUUAUGAGGACUCUCCUGACAUUUGUUCUUAUAUUGGGUUAAAAUUUCAGGAUAAUAGGAGUUUGGGGCCUUACAAUUAGGUUGGUAGUUAGAUGUGUUACCCAAAAACACAGGAAAAAUAUUAAGAGAGGUAAAAUGGUAAAGUAAGCAAAAUUUCUCUUUAUAAACAAGCAAAAGCGGAUGAAGGAGAACGAAAAGCCCUCCAUACCUUAUUAAGUUUUGAGUGGUUUCUUGCUUGAUUAAGAGAUUCUUAUGAGGACUAAUCAUUCUCUUAUAAAAUAAACAUGAUAUAAAUGAGUUUUGGAGUGAGAAACCAAGAAAAGAAGAUGAAUAUGUAGAGAGGGAAAGUGAGAAAUCUUGAAGAGAAGGAAGACGAGUUUGGGGUCUCAUGCAUCAAACUCCAUGGAAAUAGUGUUUAAAAUGGUAAGCAAGCCUUCACCUUUAUUUAUAUGCAAUUCUUAGUUGGUUUUGGUUAUAGGUGUAAAAUGGGUAUGUGUUUAAGCUUGAGUUUGAUUGAAUGAUGAAUUGUUGUUCUUACACUUUGAUAAUAAUGUGUUUUUGUAUGUAUCUAAGAGUGGGUAAUGUGAAAUUAUUGGAAAAGUUGAAGGAAAAUCCAUGGUUUUGAUUCAUGGUGGCAUUAGGAAAAAAAGAAAUACUUGAAGGGUUUGGGUUUUGUUGAUUGAUUUGACAUGUUUUAGUUGUUUUGGGAUGGAAUGCAUGUUAAAAGCUGAAGUGAUAAUCAUGGUUAUACCAUGGAGGAUAUUCAGCCAAAAUAGAAAAUAUUGGGGGAGGGAUUUUGAAUGAUUGUGGUGAUGAACUAUAGCUAAGCUUGAAAUGAUAUGUGUUGGAAAAAAAAACUAAUGUAAGAUUAACAUAAGUGUAUGUUGUUAAAGGUUUGUUGCAUAUGUUUAAUUGUAAAAGGAGAAAGUGAGAAAUGAAUGGUUUAUUUUUUGUUGUGUUAAUAAUUCUAAACAAGGAUAUUAAUGUAUGUAUUAUGGAAAAGAAAGAGGAGAAAUUCCAAGGGAACGAGUUUCUCUAUUUUGACCAAAUCUUGCUAUGUUGUAGAUGAAGGGAAAUUAUUUGAAUGUCUUGAUUUAGAUUUGGUUUAAAUAUGUGAUGUAAUGUAAUGAUGCUAAAUGACCUUGGAUAAUAUUGUUUAUAAAUGAUAAUUAGUUGGAAGUUGUAAAGGAUUUUCAAGGGGUGAAAAUCCUUGUCCAAAAUUUUAGUUGAAAAAAAAGAGGCUACUGUGAUUGUUUAUUUUGAGCCUUAAAAAGAUAUAACUUGGAUUUAGUUUUUUUAUGAACGUUGUAAGUAUGGAUGUUAGAUUUCAAAUGAAACUAAUCUUGAUUAAUUUGGAGUUGUUAACUCCAUAUAUAAACUAAAUAUUGAAUAAUGGUCUAAACCGAUAUAAAUCUAGACACAUUUUGGAUGCUACAGUGAUUGUUUAAUUUGAGCCUUAAAAUGAUAAAGUUUGGAGUUUGUUUCUCUACCAAAGUUAUAUGUAUGGAUGUUGUUGCUACCCAAUUUUUUACCUAUGUUUUGAUAAAUUUUCAGAAAAAUCUAAAAAUAGAGAAAAACAACGAAAAUCCAAAAAAUAUGUUUUUUAAUAUAUUUUCAUAAUUUUAGCAUUUUCAACGUCGUCUAAAAAAGAAUUUAAAAUUUUAAGGGUCUUUCGAACGCGUUCGACUUUUCACGCGUCAUUUUUAAAAUCAUUGAUUUUCCUCAUCGAGUUGACGUUAAUAUUGCUCGUUUUCAAAAAUAUACAAAAAAAUAAGAAAAAUAAAAAUUUACAAAAAAAAAAAGUCGAGGGAUCAAGUUGGGAGACCUAGCAACAUAUUUGCCUAUAAAUAGUAGUUUCCAACCCUUGUAUAAGGGGGGGCAAUUUUGAAAGAAAAAAAAUACAAAAAAAAAGAGGAAACCUAACCCUAAAAUACAGAAAAAUCAAUUUUGAAGUUAAAAGUGACCGAAUCUGUGCAGGGCCAAUUGAAUUGGUUGAUUGUUCCAAAAACUAAGUUAAGAGUUUUCUUGCUAUUGUGUUAAUUGUUUCCUUUUAGAUACCAUGUAUCAAAGAAGAAACAUGCCUAAGUCCAACAAUAUCGCUACUGUUUUGUCAAGUAGUAGUGCCGAAGCAAUAACAUUUGUGAUUGUGUUGUUAAUUCAGGUGACGAUCAUGAAGAGACACAUGAAGAGGCAUCUACCAUGGAAGUUACUGACCAAGGCUCGAACAAUGUGGACAACAGAGUUGGAAUCCCCUUUACCAGACAUUUUAUUAGGUAAAAUUAUUGUAGAAUGGAAGGAUGACCUCACUAUAUAAUUAAUGUUUUUUUUCUUUUUAAAUACUGAAGUCAUUUAUUUGUAUUUGGUUAUUUUAAGUUUUUCAUUAAAUUAAAAUGGCUUCAAUGAAUUGAUUUUCAGGUUUACCAAUAAUAAAGUUGUCGAUUCGAUCACAUCUACGAUGAAAUUAUCAUUCGAAGAACUAUUAUUUCAAUGGAGUCAGCUUCAUAAGCGUCUUGAAUAUAUGAAUAUUAUAGUAGCUUGGCGGAGAAAGUUUAAGAUUAGUUAAUGAUCUUUAAUUUGAGUUAAUAGUAUUUUAAAAUUUUAAAAUUAAUUAAUUUAUGAUUUUAAUAAAAGAAAAACAUUUACUGGACGAUAGCAAUGAGAUGUUGGUCAAGCAAAUAUGGGAAAACCACAAUGUAACUAGGAAAGUAUUAAUAUAAAAAAUGUUAUAUUAUAGUAAAUUUGAUUUUUUUUUUAAUUUCCUUACCCUAUUUUUGUUUAACAAAUUUUCAUAUUUGGUUAUGUGAUUUGUGGUAUGAUGUCCACAAACAAGCAAAUAAUGGAGCCAACCCUAUGAUGUAACAAUGUGAAAAAACUAUAGACCAAGGCACGUAACAAAGUGUAAUUGGGCACGUAACAAGAUUGCAUUUUGCAUCAGGACUCAAAAUAGAAAUAAAGAAACUUGUGAUUCGAUGAGCAAGCAUUUUGAAGGAGCGUUUUCAUUUAUGAACCAUGCAAAGCUUUUAGUAAGAGCUUGUUAUUAUUUAUAUUUUAUUAUUUUUCUUAUGAUUUUAAUUAAGUAUUUAUUUCUGAAACUGUUAAAACAAACUAUUUAAUUUGUGGGAGAAACAUCUUGGAAGUGAACCGACUCCAAUAAAGUAUACGAGGUAACUUAUAAAGAAGGGAUAUAAGGGAAAAAAAAUAAAUAUCGAUAAAAGAGCGAAAAUGUUCGUUGUAAGAGCUUUAUAUAUAUAUAUAUAUAUAUAUAUAGUUAUCAUUACAUUUCUAAUGUUUAUCAUCAUUAAUGUGAAUUUAGGAUUUUAAGGUUUUUUUAUUUGUUUUGUAUGAUAUAUCUAAAGCUUGCAUGAUUGAGAAAUUUGGUGAAGACACUUCUACUUAUCAUCAUCAUUUUUAAUUAUAGUUGUAGGUUAGUGUAAUUAAUGAACCUGAUAGAAAUCAUGUUUAUAGUAUGUGUAUAACAUCAAUUCAAGAAAUGAGAGCUAGUUGUACUGUUUUAAUUGUGGACACAUCAUUUUCCUUGCCAAGCUUGACAUCAUCGAACAUUGAUGAGUUAGUACAAAAAAAAGUUGUGAAAUAACAGUAUUUUUAGUUGCCUAGUUCGGAGGGAAAAAAAGAGCACUAUUCAAACAAGAAAUCAAGAUGUAUUGAGAGCAAUUUGGUGGAUAUAUAGCUUUACCAUUGCCUUUUCCUCGUGAGCCUUUUAGUUCAAGAUCUGUGAAAUCUUUAUUAUAAAAUUUUUGUUAUGGUGAUUCGUUUUUGUUGUGAUUGUGAUUUUAAAAUGAAAAAAAAAGAAGCAUUUGGGGUUAUAAUAACUAAACAAUAAAAGAAAAUUAGUGAAAUGCCAAUGAAAUUGUUGAUGGACAUGGGAUUUCAUUGGUAUAUUGUUAUAAAGUUUGCACAAAUCUCGUUGAAAAGUUACUUAAGGUUUGGACAUUUAUGAUAAAAUCUAUGUUCGACAAUUUUGUAAGCAUUUAAGGUGCUGAUGGAAAAAUAAACUGUAAAAACUUGUCUUUUUGCUCAGAUGUUCCAUCUGCAUUUUCAUCGGGAAUGAAAGUUGGUGAUGAAAAUGCCAACAAAAGAUAAAUCCUUAACUAGAAACUCACUAUUGAGAAGUUUUUAUAUGUACCAAACACUCAUGAAAAAGUAUUUUCAACGUCAUUUAAAAAAUAUUUAAAUUUUUAAGGGUUUUUCGAAUGCGUUCGAUUUUUCACGCUUCAUUUUUAAAAUCAUUGAUUUUCAUUAUCAAGUUGACAUUAAUAUCACUACAAGAUUUCACAGUUUUACCGACGGAAAUAUUCCGUCGGUGUCUGAUAGCACGUUCGUCAGUAAAGUAUUUACUAACGGAAUACGCCCGUCGGAAUACCUUUUGUCGGUGAUUCCACAUUCCGUCGCUAUAUCGGUCGGUAAUACAAAAAAAACAUUUACCGACGGAACGUGCGCGCCAAAAAAAAAAGUUUCCCGCUUGGAAUAUACCGACGGACUACCUCCGUCCGCAAAAGUGUCGGUGAUAUUUCAUACCGACCGAAUAAAUCCGUCUGUAAAUUCGUCGGUAUUUUUAUACCGACGGAUUAUUUCCGUCGGUGAUGGGAUGGAAUACCGCAGACACUGUCCAAUGCCGACGGAUUUAUUCCGUCGGUAAAUCCCUGUGUAAUUUUUUUUUUUUAAUUAUUUAGAAAAAAUAAUAUAAAUUAAUGGUAAUACAAACCAAUUAUGCAAAUAAAAUUUAUAUUAAGCAACAAAAACUCAAAGUUAAAUAAUAUUAAUUACAAAAUGAAUGUUUUUUUAAAAAAACAAUUAAUAUAAAGGUGGAGGAGGAGGAGGAGGAGGGUGGGGGUUAGGCGGCCAAAAAGGAUUAGGCGCACAUGUUCCACCUUGUGUCAUGUUCAUGACCAUUUGACGAAGCUCUUCAUAGGCCGCUCUUUGUUGUUCAGACUCUGCUCUGCGUUGUUCGUUCGCCAAUCUGUGUUGUUCGUUCGCCAAUCUUUGCUCUGCUUUGAGUUGUGUGUACGCCUCUGAUAGGUGGUCGCACCUUUGCUGCAAGGCCACAAACUCCUUAGAUUGGGAGCUCGAUACAGAUUGGGAGCUCCCACGGUUGAAGCAGUACCGGUCGACCGCAACUUGGCAGCGGUAGUGUUGGAGAGCCCGUAAACCCGAUUUUUAUCGGGUCCACCUGACGAUCCAGCCUCCAUCCACAAAUCCGGAUCGAAUUCCGGAUGGGUCGAAGGAUCAUCCCCGUAUCUCUCCCUCAACCGAUUAUUAUAGGUCUCCUGAAAAAAAAAAUCAUAUUCAAUUCAAUAAACAUUAUAAUAACUUAUAAAAUAAAAUGGUUGAACAAACAUACCACAAACUGUUGAGCACGGUUGUUAACGAACUGUUGCGUCCCCUUUUGGCGGUCAUGACUUCGCACGUGCGUCUCCACAAACAGCUCCAUAGGGCUCGACUCACGUCCAAGAGACGUAGCCUAUAUAUAAUGAAAAAAAUGUAUUAACAACAAAUUAAUUGAACGAUAUAUUUCAUUUAAAUUAAUCUUACCAUCCGUUUCGCAUGUGCAGCAAACGGAACGGAGCCGCCGGUGUGCGUUGUAACCGAGCCAUGAAUUGGCCGAUUCCGGUUGCCGGCACCGGACUGUGAGCGUCGAGUGAACCGCUCAGACGUCACAUGCUGAAGAUAGUGCGGCCAUAUAUCUUCUGAGAUGUAUAUUGGUUUGAAAUCCCUCCAAACCCCUUAUCCCUCGCUGUUUUUUUUGCUUUUUUCUGGGCGUCAUACCAAAAAUCACGCAACCUAAUUCACGCACGAAAAAAUUACAUUUCGAAACAUAAAUAAUUAUGUAAAAAAAAGUCAUAUUGUUUUCGAUGUUACCUAAUUGCCGCGUGAUUUUCCCAUACCCUCCUCACAACAGUGUCAUGUUCAUCGUCCCAGCAGAAUCGAUGUUGUAUAUAAAAAAAUAAUUUUUUAAAAUGUUAAUAAUUUAUUUACAAUUAUAACUUGAAUUGAUUAGAAAUAAGCUGAAAAUUAUAUAUUAACACGAACCUCAAAUCUACGAAACCAUGCAUUGAUUUGAGGCAUCCAUUCAGGAUGUCUGGAUAUCUAACUCCAUUGAAACAAUGGAAUCUCCAUCGACGCUUUAAACGCCGAUGAUAUUAAUCGAGCGGCCUCAAUGUUUGUGAACCUGAAAAGAAAUGAAAUUAAUUUGUGAUUACUUCAUAAAUUAUGUUUUAAAUUUGUUUUUUUUUAUAUAAAAAAAACUAAAACCUUAACAAACUUACAUUGAAAGAUCUUCCUUCCACUGUGCCUCGAACUGGCGGGUAAAUUGAUUCCGCUUCGAACGCACGCCGCGUCUGCGAUGUGAAACAUCACUGGAAGAGACAGCAUCGGUUGACGGCGCAGGUGGUCAACGCUGCUAGACGAACUUGAUUCGACUAGACGCGAACGACCAGCUCUGGUUUUCAUUUUGCAUAUCUAAACAAUUUUAUAUUAAUAAUUGUAUAAUAAAAUUCAAAAGUUAAAAAAAUAUCGGCAGCACCUCCCCUAUACUGGAUACUACCCAAAUCCACAAACCUGCAAAUAUUAACAAUAGCCACAACCAAUCGAACCAAUCUAUACUAAUUAUUCCAACAUAUUCAACUAUUAAUCCUAAGAUAAAUUCAACGUUAACAAUUACAAUUCACAAAUUAAUCAAUCAUUAUAUUCAAAACAAUAAAAAAUAUGACAAAAAAUAAAUUCAAUAAAUUCAACAAAUUAUAAUUCAACAAAUUAAUCAUUUUAAUUCAACAUUAACAAUUAUAAUUCAACAAAUUAAUCAAUAAUUAUAUUCAAAACAAUAAAAAAUAUGACAAAAAAUAAAUUCAAUAAAUUCAACAAAUUAUAAUUCAACAAAUUAAUCAUUACAAUUCAACAUUAACAAUUAUAAUUCAACAAAUUAAUCAAUAAUUAUAUUCAAAACAAUCAAAAAUAUGACAAAAAAUAAAUUCAAUAAAUUCAACAAAUUAUACUUCAACAAAUUAAUCAUUAUAAUUCAACAUUAACAAUUAUAAUUCAACAAAUUAAUCAUUAUAAUUAUGUCAACAAAACAAUAAAAAAUAUUCAAAAAAUUCAAAAAAAAAACCUACAUCAAUAAAAGGAACGAAAUAUACAUAUCUUAAUAAUGUGACAAAUUCAAAACUUUAUCUACAUUACCAAAAAAAACACCAAAACAACAAAAUAACAAAAAUAAAAACAACUAAAAAUAAAUUAAAAGUAAAUAAAUUAAAUUGGAAAUCGAUAAUUAUUCCAACAAACGCAAUUAUUAAUUCUAAGGUAAAUUCAACAUUAACAAUAUUAAUUCAAUAAAUUAAUCAAUAAUUAUAUAGGCAAUACAACAAUAAAUUAUAUUCAAUAAAUUAAAAAAAAAUAUAGACUAACAAUUAAAUUAACAAAUAUUCAACAAAUUCAAAAAAUUCAAAAAAAAUCAAAUAUUCAACUUUAACUAAUUCUAAGUUAAAUUAACUAAUAACAAUUCUAACAACACAACAACAAAAAAUAUUCAAAAAAUUCAAAAAAUAAAACCUACAUCAAGAAAAGGAACCAAAUAUACAUACCUUAAUAAUGUGUCAAAUUCAAAACUUUAUCUACAUUGCAACAAAAAACACCAAAACAACAAAUAUCUCACCGUUCGAAUGGGUACAUCCAUCUAUACUGGACCGGUCCUCCAGCUUUUGCCUCGAACGGUAGAUGUAUAGGGAGAUGCUCCAUUGAGUCAAAAAAUGAAGGAGGGAAUAUCAUCUCAAGUUUGCAUAGUGUCUCGAUGAUAUUCGUUUGAAGCAUCUCAAUAUGCUCAACAUUCAUCUUGCUGGAGCAUAUAUCUCUGAAGAAAUGACUGAUCUCCGUUAGUGCAUCCCAUAUUCCCUUUGGCAACAAAUCACGAAAAGCUAACGGGAUGAGUGUUUGCAUAAACACGUGGCAGUCAUGGCUCUUCAUUCCAUACAAUCUACAGUCCUCUAUGUUAACAAGCCUUGAUAUGUUCGAUGCAUGUCCAUCCGGGAAACGCAGACUCUUAAGCCAUUUGUAGACUAGCAGUUGUGCGUUUUUCUCUAACACGAAGCUUGCCUUUGGUUUUGCAACCCGUGACUCGUCAUAAACCAACUCCAUAUUUUUACGGUUAUAGUAUAAAGCUAUAUCCAAUCUAGCCUUCAUGUUGUCCUUUGUCUUCCCCUUCACAUCCAUGACGGUGUUGAAAAUAUUCUCAAACACGUUCUUUUCGAUGUGCAUGACAUCAAGGUUAUGGCGGAGAAGAUUAGUCUUCCAAUACGGAAGCUCCCAAAAGAUACUUCGCUUUACCCAAUUAUGGGUUAAACCAAAACCAGGAAACUUUUGCUUACCUGAUUGAAGGCCAAACACAAUGUCACCGUACUCUGAUACAACAUGAUGCAAUUCUUCACCAGAAAGACGCGGGGAUGCAACAUCUUUUUCAACUCUACCAACAAAGAAAUCUUUUCUGUUCUUUCUGAACCUGUGAUUAAGUGGCAAGAAGCGACGGUGACAGUCAAAAAAAGAAGCUUUACCUCCGUUUGCUAGCGUGAAUGCCUUGUUGUUUUCCAUGCAGUAUGGACAUGCGAGUUUCCCAUGCGUGCUCCAACCAGAAAGCAUUCCAUAAGCUGGAAAAUCACUGAUAGUCCACAUCAAAGCCGCCCUCAUAAGGAAAUUUUGUUUCCUCGAUAUAUCAUAAGUCAGAGAUCCGGAGGACCACAACUGCGCCAGCUCAUCUAUCAACGGUCGAAGACAAACAUCUAUAUUCCGCCCCGGGCUGCUUGGACCGGGUAUGACAGUAGAUAGAAACAUGAACUCCGGCCUCAUACACAUUCCCGGUGGCAAGUUAUAAACUGUGAGAAUGACCGGCCAACAAGAAUAGGGAGCAGCAAAUGACCCAAAUGGGUUGAACCCGUCUGUACACAACCCAAGUCGAACAUUCCUUGAUUCAGCAGAAAAGUCAGGAUGAACACUGUUAAAGCGUUUCCACGCUUCGCCGUCAGAAGGAUGCACCCAUCACACCAUCAACGACAUCGUGUGUUUGGUGCCAUGUCAUGUGCUCAGCAGUCCUUGGUGACAUAAAUAACCUCUGCAGUCUAGGUGUGAUCGGGAAAUAUCUAAGUUUUUUAUAUGCCACUAGAGUCUUCCCCCUGCCAGUUCUGGGUUUGUAACGGGAAUGCCCGCAUGUCAUGCACUCGGUCAUCUCAGCAUUUUCAAGGUAGUAUAACAUGCAGAAGUUAGGGCACAUGUCAAUUUUCUGGUAUCCUAAACCGAGGGGUUUCAUCAUGGACUUCGCAGCAUAGAAGUUCUCUUUGAGCCUGUUCCCUUCAGGUAAAAUGCUUCUUGCCCAAUCAAUAAUUUUGUCAUACCCGGCCUCACUCAACCCGUGAUCUGACUUGAUGGUGAACACCUGUGCCACAGCCGAUAAUUUACUGUGGUUUGUGCAGCCAUCCCAUAAUGGUUCGUCAGAAUCUUUCAACAAAUCAAAAAACCUAGCUGCCUCUGCAUUAGGUUCUUCUUCUACGAUUGGACAUUGAUUGACAUUAUCUUGAUUCAUUCUCAUUGCAUCCAUAACCAUGUUUCUGUAAGGAUUAGUGUUGUCAUUUGCCGCUUCAUGCACGUUGCUAGCACUAGAAGUUGACCCAACCACCGUUUCUCCCAUUCUCCUAUUACUAACAAAUACCUCUCCAUGUGCAUACCAACACUCGUAAUCCUCCACAAACCCUUUGUGUAGAAGAUGCAUCAUUACAACAUCUGGAUGCAGAUACUUUUUAUUUUGACACUUCCUGCAUGGACACCUAAUACCGCCUCCAGUAAAAUUUCUGGGAAUAGAUGUUGCGAAAUUAAUAAAACCCUGAACCCCGUUACAAUAAUCCAUCCUCCGCAAUCCUUGGGGUGAAUCUAGAUACAUCCAUGAACGAUCAUCCAUGACUUCUAUCGAACCUCUAUAAAAAGGACCCAUUAAGCAAGCUCUUAAUUAUUUCAAAACAUAACAUGUAAUUCGGUAAUUCUACAAAUUAAGUUUUAACAAUUUUCAAACAAAUACAAUCUUACAAAAUCUAAAACAAACCAUAACAAGUAUAAAAUUAUACAUUCAUAUACUACAAGUUUGUUUGAGAAAUAACAAUAAAACAUGUACAUCUACUAAAAAAAAAUACAUGUACUAAAAAAACAAUAAAAUUGACAUUUAAAUGUUAAAAUUUUAAAAGAUAGAAUUACUUGCAAAAAAUGAUAAAAUCCAUCGGUAAAUCAGAACACCGAUGUUGUGACCACAAAACUUCAAGAAAUACAACUUGUUGUGCUGAGAUGAGGAAGAUUUUUGUUUUGGGGCGAGGGGGGGCUGGUUAUUUUGCAGAUGGGGAGGGUUAGGAUUAGGAAGAAGAAGGAGAAAUGGGGGAGGAGAGAGUGUUGGCAGAGUGGCCAUAUAUUCACUUUUGCCGACGGACUUGCCGACGGUUUUGAUUCCAUCGGUGAAUACGUCGGCGAAACCGUCGAUAAUUCGGACGGGCAAUCGACACGUCACCGCACGGACCUGCUAUUCAAAUCCCUCGGUGAUUCCGUCGGUAUUUUUAACUGUGCACCGGUCACGUCACCGGUACGGAUCUGGCAUUUCAAAUCCGUCGGUAUGUCUGUUGGUAUUUAGCAAAUUUCUGGUGGUGUGUUGGUUGUUUUCAAAAAUAUACAAAAAAAUAAGAAAAAUCAAAAUUUACAAAAAAAAAAAGUUGAGGGACCAAGUUGGGAGACCUAGCAACAUAUUUGUCUAUAAAUAGUAGUUUCCAACCCUUGCAUAAGGGAGGGCAAUUUUAAAAGAAAAAAAAUACAAAAAUUAGAGGAAACCUAACCCUAAAAAUACAAAAUUUCCUAGUCUUUCUGAGCUUACUUUAUGGAAUUGUCCCAAGUUGCUUGGCAAGUUCCCUAGCUGUCUUCCUUCUUGUGUAAAGAUUACGAUUGCAAAAUGCCCAAUUUUGGUUGAUUCAGACGAAAAGCUUCCAGUGCAUAGUGAACUGAAAUUAGAAGAAUGUGAUGAGGUCACACCUAAAUGCAUAUUUCAUAACUCGUCCCUAAUCACAUUGAAACUUGGGAGUAUGUCAAGGCUUACUUGUUUGAAGGGCCAGUUUCUGCGGUCACUGGGACUUAAAGUUCUGAUGAUUUCUGAUUUCCCCAAACUAACCUCUUUGUGGCAAAAAGGAACUGAAUUAGAAAAUUUUGAACAUCCUCAAUUUGUGUCAUUGACAGAGAUUGGUAUGCCCAGCACUCAUAAAAGUUCAAAAUUGUC
rnacentral:lncRNA from 1 species